UCAAGUAAUUAAGUGCAUGUGGUGGAUGCCUUGGCAGUCAGAGGCGAUGAAAGACGUGAUAGCCUGCGAAAAGCUCCGGGGAGGCGGCAAAUAUCCUUUGAUCCGGAGAUGUCUGAAUGGGGGAACCCACCUACUUUAAGGUAGGUAUUGCAACAUGAAUACAUAGUGUUGCAAGGCGAACGAGGGGAAGUGAAACAUCUCAGUACCCUUAGGAAAAGAAAUCAAUUGAGAUUCCCUCAGUAGCGGCGAGCGAACGGGGAUCAGCCCAUUAAGUUAUGUGUGUUUUAGUGGAACGCUCUGGGAAGUGCGAACGUAGAGGGUGAUAUUCCCGUACACGAAAGGGCACACAUAAUGAUGACGAGUAGGGCGAGGCACGUGAAACCUUGUCUGAAUAUGGGGGGACCAUCCUCCAAGGCUAAAUACUCCUGACUGACCGAUAGUGAACCAGUACCGUGAGGGAAAGGCGAAAAGAACCCCUGUGAGGGGAGUGAAAUAGAUCCUGAAACCGCAUGCAUACAAGCAGUGGGAGCACCUUCGUGGUGUGACUGCGUACCUUUUGUAUAAUGGGUCAGCGACUUAUAUUCAGUAGCGAGGUUAACCGUAUAGGGGAGCCGUAGAGAAAUCGAGUCUUAAUAGGGCGUUUAGUUGCUGGGUAUAGACCCGAAACCAGGCGAUCUAUCCAUGAGCAGGUUGAAGGUUGGGUAACACUAACUGGAGGACCGAACCCACUGUCGUUGAAAAGCCAGGGGAUGACUUGUGGAUAGGGGUGAAAGGCUAAUCAAGCCUGGUGAUAGCUGGUUCUCCCCGAAAGCUAUUUAGGUAGCGCCUCGGACGAAUACCAUAGGGGGUAGAGCACUGUUUCGGCUAGGGGGUCAUCCCGACUUACCAAACCGAUGCAAACUCCGAAUACCUAUGAGUACUAUCCGGGAGACAGACUGCGGGUGCUAACGUCCGUAGUCAAGAGGAAAACAAUCCAGACCGCCAGCUAAGGCCCCAAAAUCAUAGUUAAGUGGGAAACGAUGUGGGAAGGCAUAGACAGCUAGGAGGUUGGCUUAGAAGCAGCCACCCUUUAAAGAAAGCGUAAUAGCUCACUAGUCGAGUCGGCCUGCGCGGAAGAUGUAACGGGGCUAAAACUAUGUGCCGAAGCUGCGGAUGUAUACUUUGUAUACGUGGUAGGGGAGCGUUCUGUAAGCCGAUGAAGGUGUGUUGAGAAGCAUGCUGGAGGUAUCAGAAGUGCGAAUGCUGACGUGAGUAACGACAAAACGGGUGAAAAACCCGUUCGCCGAAAGACCAAGGGUUCCAGUCCAACGUUAAUCGGGGCUGGGUGAGUCGACCCCUAAGGCGAGGCCGAAAGGCGUAGUCGAUGGGAAAAUGGUUAAUAUUCCAUUACUUCUGUGUAAUGCGAUGAGAGGACGGAGAAGGCUAAAUCAGCCUGGCGUUGGUUGUCCAGGUGAAAGGAUGUAGGCAUGUAUCUUAGGCAAAUCCGGGGUACUCUAUGCUGAGAUCUGAUAGCAAGCUGUACUUGUACAGCGAAGUGGUUGAUGCCAUGCUUCCAGGAAAAGUCUCUAAGCUUCAGUUACACAGGAAUCGUACCCGAAACCGACACAGGUGGUCAGGUCGAGUAGACCAAGGCGCUUGAGAGAACUCUGCUGAAGGAACUAGGCAAAAUGGUACCGUAACUUCGGGAGAAGGUACGCUGUUGUUGGUGAUGGAACUCGCUUCCUGAGCUGACGACAGCCGCAGAAACCAGGCCGCUGCAACUGUUUAUUAAAAACAUAGCACUCUGCAAACACGAAAGUGGACGUAUAGGGUGUGAUGCCUGCCCGGUGCUGGAAGGUUAAUUGAUGGGGUUAGCGUAAGCGAAGCUCUUGAUCGAAGCCCCAGUAAACGGCGGCCGUAACUAUAACGGUCCUAAGGUAGCGAAAUUCCUUGUCGGGUAAGUUCCGACCUGCACGAAUGGCAUAAUGAUGGCGGCGCUGUCUCCAGCAGAGGCUCAGUGAAAUCGAAAUCGCUGUGAAGAUGCAGUGUACCCGCGGCUAGACGGAAAGACCCCGUGAACCUUUACUGCAGCUUGACACUGAACUUUGACCUUACUUGUGUAGGAUAGGUGGGAGGCUUUGAAGCUGGAACGCUAGUUCCAGUGGAGCCGUCCUUGAAAUACCACCCUGGUAAUGUUGAGGUUCUAACUCUGUCCCGUGAUCCGGGACGAGGACCGUGUCUGGUGGGUAGUUUGACUGGGGCGGUCUCCUCCUAAAGAGUAACGGAGGAGUACGAAGGUGCGCUCAGCGUGGUCGGAAAUCACGCGUAGAGUAUAAAGGCAAAAGCGCGCUUAACUGCGAGACCCACAAGUCGAGCAGGUACGAAAGUAGGUCUUAGUGAUCCGGUGGUUCUGUAUGGAAGGGCCAUCGCUCAACGGAUAAAAGGUACUCUGGGGAUAACAGGCUGAUACCGCCCAAGAGUUCAUAUCGACGGCGGUGUUUGGCACCUCGAUGUCGGCUCAUCUCAUCCUGGGGCUGAAGCAGGUCCCAAGGGUAUGGCUGUUCGCCAUUUAAAGAGGUACGCGAGCUGGGUUUAGAACGUCGUGAGACAGUUCGGUCCCUAUCUACCGUGGGCGCUGGAAAUUUGAGAGGAUCUGCUCCUAGUACGAGAGGACCAGAGUGGACGAACCUCUGGUGUACCGGUUGUGACGCCAGUCGCAUCGCCGGGUAGCUAUGUUCGGAAGGGAUAACCGCUGAAAGCAUCUAAGCGGGAAGCCUACCUCAAGAUAAGAUUUCCCUAGGACUUUAUGUCCUCUAAAGAGCCGUUCGAGACUAGGACGUUGAUAGGUUGGAUGUGGAAG
rnacentral:rRNA from 1 species